rnacentral:rRNA from 1 species
UACGAAGGGGGCUAGCGUUGCUCGGAAUCACUGGGCGUAAAGGGUGCGUAGGCGGGUCUUUAAGUCAGGGGUGAAAUCCUGGAGCUCAACUCCAGAACUGCCUUUGAUACUGAAGAUCUUGAGUUCGGCAGAGGUGAGUGGAACUGCGAGUGUAGAGGUGAAAUUCGUAGAUAUUCGCAAGAACACCAGUGGCGAAGGCGGCUCACUGGCCCGAUACUGACGCUGAUGCACGAAAGCGUGGGGAGCAAACAGG